rnacentral:rRNA from 1 species
AGUGAACGCUGGCGGUAGGCCUAACACAUGCAAGUCGAACGGCAGCACAGUAAGAGCUUGCUCUUACGGGUGGCGAGUGGCGGACGGGUGAGGAAUGCAUCGGAAUCUACUUUUUCGUGGGGGAUAACGUAGGGAAACUUACGCUAAUACCGCAUACGACCUACGGGUGAAAGCAGGGGAUCUUCGGACCUUGCGCGAUUGAAUGAGCCGAUGUCGGAUUAGCUAGUUGGCGGGGUAAAGGCCCACCAAGGCGACGAUCCGUAGCUGGUCUGAGAGGAUGAUCAGCCACACUGGAACUGGGACACGGUCCAGACUCCUACGGGAGGCAGCAGUGGGGAAUAUUGGACAAUGGGCGCAAGCCUGAUCCAGCCAUACCGCGUGGGUGAAGAAGGCCUUCGGGUUGUAAAGCCCUUUUGUUGGGAAAGAAAAGCAGCAGGUUAAUACCCCGCUGUUCUGACGGUACCCAAAGAAUAAGCACCGGCUAACUUCGUG